CCUUCCGGCUGAAUUAGUGAUCGGCUGGAAUUCAUUCAUGUUAUUUGGAGUAGACACAAUGUCACUAAAUGCUGAAACCAAAGCCCAGAUCGUUGCCGAAUUCGCCCGUGGCGAA
rfam:Oceanimonas sp. GK1, complete genome.